UUAGACAAGACUUUGUGUAGAGUGCAAAAUUACCCAAGUGACGGUAUCUAACCAGAAAGGGACGGCUAACUACGUGCCAGCAGCCGCGGUAAUACGUAGGUCCCGAGCGUUGUCCGGAUUUAUUGGGCGUAAAGCGAGCGCAGGUGGUUUAAUAAGUCUGAUGUAAAAGGCAGUGGCUCAACCAUUGUGUGCAUUGGAAACUGUUAGACUUGAGUGCAGUAGAGGAGAGUGGAAUUCCAUGUGUAGCGGUGAAAUGCGUAGAUAUAUGGAGGAACACCGGUGGCGAAAGCGGCUCUCUGGACUGUAACUGACACUGAGGCUCGAAAGCGUGGGUAGCAAACAGGAUUAGAUACCCUGGUAGUCCACGCCGUAAACGAUGAGUGCUAGUUGUUUGGGGCUAUCCAGCCCUAAGUGACGCAGCAAACGCAUUAAGCACUCCGCCUGGGGAGUACGACCGCAAGGUUGAAACUCAAAGGAAUUGACGGGGGCCCGCACAAGCGGUGGAGCAUGUGGUUUAAUUCGAAGCAACGCGAAGAACCUUACCAGGUCUUGACAUACCAGUGCUAUUCUUAGAGAUAAGAAGUUACUUCGGUACACUGGAUACAGGUGGUGCAUGGUUGUCGUCAGCUCGUGUCGUGA
rnacentral:rRNA from 1 species